AUACGUAGGGAGCAAGCGUUAUCCGGAUUCAUUGGGCGUAAAGAGCGCGUAGGCGGCUCGUUAAGCCAGGUGUGAAAGGCGGAGGCUCAACCUCCGUAGGCACCUGGAACUGGCGGGCUCGAGUUCGGUAGAGGAAGAUGGAAUUCCCAGUGUAGCGGUGAAAUGCGCAGAUAUUGGGAGGAACACCGAUGGCGAAGGCAGUCUUCUGGGCCGUAACUGACGCUGAGGCGCGAAAGCUGGGGGAGCGAACAGGAUUAGAUACCCUGGUAGUCCCAGCCGUAAACGAUGGACGCUAGGUGUGGGGAGGGAAUCCUUUCCGCGCCGAAGCCAACGCAUUAAGCGUCCCGCCUGGGGAGUACGACCGCAAGGUUAAA
rnacentral:rRNA from 1 species